UAUAUAUAUAUAUAUAUGUCUGUGUGUGUGAUGUACAUUGAGUAAAAAAAAAAGAGAAAGUAAAUUAAAAUUUUGGUGGGACCCACCACCACACCCAAAAAGGGUUUGAGACCACAAUUGGUCUCCAUUUUUCUUCUCUGCCGCUGGCCCUUCCUUCUGUCUCUGUUUCUUGUUUUUUUUCUUUUUCUUUUUGAACUCAAACUUUAUUCUUAGAUUACUCCUCCACCUUUUGUCGGAUUGAGGUGCCGUUUAAGGCAAAACGAAGCUUGUGUCGAGCUCUACGCAUACAUACCAACAAUUCCAGAUUUGGUGCACCUUUUGAACUUCGAAUCUUAGGACCCAUUUUUAGGGUUUGUGAAGAAAAUUGGGGUUUUUGCUCAAUUAGAGGAACCGGUAAGGAGGUAGUGGAUGCCGAUCUUCCACAAGCUUAAGAAUGACUUGGAGCUCAUUUUGUAUCUUUUGUAUAUCUCCCAUUUUUGUAAGGCCCCAAAAGUGUAGUUAUGUGUAUUUAUUUUUCAAAACCAUGGUUAGGUAAUAUAAUUAUGUUAUUAGAUGAUAUUUUGGAUGUGAAUUUGAUAACAUGUAAACCUUAUUGAUGAAUGGGGAGAGUAAUACUAGUUUGAAGUAUUAUUGAGGUCA